rnacentral:rRNA from 1 species
UACGGAGGGUGCAAGCGUUGUCCGGAUUUAUUGGGUUUAAAGGGUGCGUAGGCGGCUAUAUAAGUCAGUGGUGAAAUCCAGCAGCUUAACUGUUGAACUGCCAUUGAUACUGUAUAGCUUGAGUACAGAUGAGGUAGGCGGAAUUGAAGGUGUAGCGGUGAAAUGCAUAGAUAUCUUCAAGAACACCGAUUGCGAAGGCAGCUUACUGGGCUGUAACUGACGCUGAGGCACGAAAGUAUGGGGAUCGAACAGG